rnacentral:rRNA from 1 species
GAUGAACGCUGGCGGUAUGCUUAACACAUGCAAGUCGAACGGGGUUCAUAGUCACCUAGUGGCGGACGGGUGAGUAACGCGUGAGAAUCUGGCCUCAGGUCCGGGACAACCACGGGAAACGGUGGCUAAUACCGGAUGUGCCAUAUUGGUGAAAGAUUAAUUGCCUGAGGAUGAGCUCGCGUCUGAUUAGCUAGUUGGUGGGGUAAAGGCUUACCAAGGCGACGAUCAGUAACUGGUCUGAGAGGAUGACCAGUCACACUGGGACUGAGACACGGCCCAGACUCCUACGGGAGGCAGCAGUGGGGAAUUUUCCGCAAUGGGCGAAAGCCUGACGGAGCAAUACCGCGUGAGGGAGGAAGGCUCUUGGGUUGUAAACCUCUUUUCUCAGGGAAGAAGAAUGACGGUACCUGAGGAAUCAGCAUCGGCUAACUCCGU